AGUGACCAAUAUGUUGGCAAAAUUAAAAAAGCAGAUGGCUAUUGGGGAAGUUGCAGAAAUAUAUAGCAAUGAAAGGUACUAAACACUAACCCAGUCAGAUAGUACAAAAUCUUUGUUACAUUGAAUUAAGCCUCGGAUCUAUUUUUAAGAGAUCGUCAGUUCCCAUAUGGCAGAAUCAACAAGGAGUCCGGUGGCACCUUAUGGCAGAACGAAGAUAACAUCCAGAACUUACUAGUAGCUAUAAAAAUAUAGACUAGAACUCAGCCCUAAAAUGCUUACAGGUGAGGAGGCCUAACCUGUGUCGUCUGCUGAAACCAGUUUUAUCAUCUGUGCCUCAUCCCCCGCUCCAAACAGGCUCUUUGCGUGUGUCUACACAGGAAAGAAAAACUCAUGGUUAGCCCAUGCCAGCUGACUCAGGUUCAUGGGGCUCGGGCUGUGGGGUUGUUUCACUGCUGUGUAGACUUCC